rnacentral:rRNA from 1 species
GACGAACGCUGGCGGCGUGCCUAAUACAUGCAAGUAGGACGCACAGUUUAUACCGUAGCUUGCUACACCAUAAACUGUGAGUUGCGAACGCGUGAGUAACGCGUAGGUAACCUGCCUGGUAGCGGGGGAUAACUAUUGGAAACGAUAGCUAAUACCGCAUAAUAUUGAUUAUUGCAUGAUAAUUGAUUGAAAGAUGCUAUUGCAUCACUACCAGAUGGACCUGCGUUGUAUUAGCUAGUAGGUGAGGUAACGGCUCACCUAGGCGACGAUACAUAGCCGACCUGAGAGGGUGAUCGGCCACACUGGGACUGAGACACGGCCCAGACUCCUACGGGGGGCAGCAGUAGGGAAUCUUCGGCAAUGGACGAAAGUCUGACCGAGCAACGCCGCGUGAGUGAAGAAGGUUUUCGGAUCGUAAAGCUCUGUUGUAAGAGAAGAACGGGUGUGAGAGUGGAAAGUUCACACUGUGACGGUAUCUUACCAGAAAGGGACGGCUAACUACGUG